GAUGAACGCUGGCGGCGUGCCUAAUACAUGCAAGUCGAGCGAACAGAUGAGGAGCUUGCUCCUCUGACGCUAGCGGCGGACGGGUGAGUAACACGUGGAUAACCUACCUAUAAGACUUGGAUAACUUCGGGAAACCGGAGCUAAUACCGGAUAAUAUAUUUAACCGCAUGGUUCAAUAGUGAAAGACGGUUUUGCUGUCACUUAUAGAUGGAUCCGCGCCGCAUUAGCUAGUUGGUAAGGUAACGGCUUACCAAGGCAACGAUGCGUAGCCGACCUGAGAGGGUGAUCGGCCACACUGGAACUGAGACACGGUCCAGACUCCUACGGGAGGCAGCAGUAGGGAAUCUUCCGCAAUGGGCGAAAGCCUGACGGAGCAACGCCGCGUGAGUGAUGAAGGUCUUCGGAUCGUAAAACUCUGUUAUUAGGGAAGAACAAAUGUGUAAGUAACUAUGCACGUCUUGACGGUACCUAAUCAGAAAGCCACGGCUAACUACGUG
rnacentral:rRNA from 1 species